GACGAACGCUGGCGGCGUGCCUAACACAUGCAAGUCGAACGGCAACGCAGUGCUUUCGUGGGGUGCUGGAGUGGCGAUCGGGUGAGUAACAGGUAAGUAACCUGAUCUUGAUUUUGGGGUAACUUAAGGUAGGUGGGGUUACUCUCGGAUCGGAUCCCCCCCUCGAUGGUGGGCGUUGGAUAGUUUCGGCGGUUGGGGAUGGAUUAGCGGCUGAUGAGCUAGUUGGUGGGGUAGUGGCUGACCAAGGCUUUGACGGAUAGCCGGCCUGUGUGGGUGACCGGCCACAUUGGUACUGAGAUACGGCCCAGACGCCUACAGGAGGCAGCAGUGGGGAAUAUUGCACAAUGGGCGGAAGCCGGAUGCAGCAACGCCGCGUGCGUGAUGACGGCCUUCGGGUUGUAAACCGCUUUCGCCUGUGACGAAGCGUGAGUGACGGUAAUGGGUAAAGAAGCACCGGCUAACUACGUG
rnacentral:rRNA from 1 species